UACAGAGGGGGCGAGCGUUGUUCGGAAUUACUGGGCGUAAAGGGCGCGUAGGCGGCCAACUAAGUCGGACGUGAAAUCCCCUGGCUCAACCAGGGAACUGCGUCCGAUACUGAUUGGCUUGAAUCCGGGAGAGGGAUGUGGAAUUCCAGGUGUAGCGGUGAAAUGCGUAGAUAUCUGGAGGAACACCGAUGGCGAAGGCAGCCAUCUGGACCGACACUGACGCUGAGGCGCGAAAGCGUGGGGAGCAAACAGG
rnacentral:rRNA from 1 species